CUGGCCUCAAUGGCGACGGGAGUGGGAGAUGGGAUUUGAGCUGUCCGGCUACAUCACCAACGCGCGGGGCCGCCCCCUGAGUUGUUUCCCAGCGUGUUCGGACCUAAGAGGUCACCGCACCGCGAAUCACUGCCGAGAGGUCGGGGUGAACCAGCGAGCGCUGUGCAAUGUCGGGAGUGCUAUGCUGAAACCAUAGAGACGCGGGGUAGAGGAGCCGGUGGAGUAGAGACGUCUCUGGGCAGGUAGAGAAGCCUUAAGCCAUGGGCCGAGGUCCCAGGAUUUGACAACUGGGGCGCACGUGUCUCGGGAUGCGGGAUGGAGAAGGCCUGAGCUGUGUCUGCAGGACUUCAAGAGCUUCCUGGCCCCGGGGAGCCCCUGCAUCUCCCACUCAGAACUCCUGCGCACCGACUGCGGUCAAGCCUUGGAGCUCCCCAGCCGUCUACAGGCAUCGCUUCCUACACCAGCCCGGCUGGAGCCGGCUCACGCCUGCCCACUGUGCCCUGGCGUUUGCUGGAGGCACAGAGCUCGCCUCAUACAUCCCGGACCGCUAGGCUGGAAGGGCUUUUCUGGGUGUUAGGGGAGUCGCAGGGCUCCACAGAAUCUUGUUUCUUGCUCCGAGAGUAGAGGCCGGGGCCUCACUGCUUACUGGCUGUGGAAUCUGAGCCAAGGGCCUGCCUCUCUGGGCCUCAGGUUCCUCAUUCCCGAAAUAGGGGAUGUCGUGUCCCCAGCUAUCUUGGCCAGGGUGAGAGGCAGAACCGACCCCUUUGACUGCCACAGCCCCUGUUUUUGGCCUGGGGUCAGUCACUGUCCAAUUGUGGCACACAGUUCCCCAGCCUGUCGGUGGGGUAGAGCUCCCAUUACCCAUGCACGAAUAAAUGGAGACAUGGAUAUUCCCGGUGAGCUACACACGUCUGACUCUGUAUUGCUCCAUCGCUUCCUUGUAGCAGCUCAUGGUGCUUGCUGAGAUGGGCUCGAAUAAACAUUUGUUAGUCUUG